rnacentral:rRNA from 1 species
UACGGAGGGUGCAAGCGUUAUCCGGAUUCACUGGGUUUAAAGGGUGCGUAGGCGGGCAGAUAAGUCAGUGGUGAAAGCCCAUCGCUCAACGGUGGAACGGCCAUUGAUACUGCAAGACUUGAAUUAUUAGGAAGUAACUAGAAUAUGUAGUGUAGCGGUGAAAUGCUUAGAUAUUACAUGGAAUACCAAUUGCGAAGGCAGGUUACUACUAAUGGAUUGACGCUGAUGGACGAAAGCGUGGGGAGCGAACAGG